UGCCAGAAUGUGAAUUUCCAGGCCCUGUGGUAUUGCAUUUCAUUCAAAUCUGGAACAUCUGUGGUUGAUGUAUCUACUUACCAUGCACAGAAACCCUGACAGAAAGUACCUGGACACAGUAUUCCAUAUUAAUACUUUGGAAGCAGCAGGUCUAUGAUCCAUUCUCUCCCUUUCCCGAGGAAGGAGCGUGUUCCUAGGUUGCUGUCUCCCCUGAUUCACUCUGUGUGACUGAGGUCUACAUGCUGGCAUUCUCAAGAUGUGUACACAUGAGUUCUUUGGGAGAAGCUUUCAAAGACCUCCUCCUGCCCAGACAACCAAGUGAUGCUCUGGUGAGACCUUUUCUGACUUCGGCUCAGCUCCCGUCUCUAGUGGUCUACUGCACAGCCUCUCACUGUGGAAUCCCCUUGCUUGGCAGGCUGUCCCUGUAGACAGGGUACUACUGAGAUGGCUCAAACUGGCUACUCUGUGGGCACUUGACCUUCAGGAAACUCAUGAGUCUUGUGACUUAAAUUUCUGCAGUAUGGGUGGCUCCACCACCACCUGCACUCUCUGCCUUGCUUUCUUUUUUCCAGAUCUCUUUUUCUCAGUUAGACCCAGGGCAGAAGAUCAGCAAGUAUUCCACAGAAGUAGAUGCUCAAAAGGGAAGGAGAAGUUUGUUUCAGAUUUUGUCAGGUACUACAAAUCUCUACCUAUGAUUUUUGCAUCAUCCCCACAUUUGCUCUGUGUGUGUGUGUGUGUGUGUGUGUGUGUCUGUGAGUGAGUGUCAAGAAGGCAGAGCACAGCACAUUCUUCCUGGCUAACCCCACAACCUUGAGUUCUUGAUGUCUUCUGCAUAUGUAGGUUGGGGUGUGAGGUAAUAGUAGCGCUGGACCUACCAUCUCUCUGGUCAGUUCUGGGGGCAUAUCUGGGGUUCCUUAGUACAGUACUUCCCCUUAGCACAUGAGAGCACUUUGUGCCUAUGCACAGUCUGGAGGCUUUAACUCUGAGACAGCAGGAGAAAUCUCGUUGAACAUCAACUUCACAAACUCGGGAAUGAAUGGAGAAGCAGUGACAAAGGACAUGAAGUGAAUCUGAAUUUAUUUGAAUAGUUACUAAUUAUUGGAAUUAGAAUUAGAGAACAAAAUGUAAAGAUGUGAAAUCUUGAAAACAAAAAUGAUGGCUAACCAAUAUCAGAGGUUGGAGGGAAGAAAUAUGGAAGGAAUCAAAAGUGUCAAUUUUUUUAUCUUUCAUGACAAGGAGUCAACAGAUAAUUAUCCAAAAAUUGAACUGUGUGUUUAAGAAUUAUAAUUUUCAGUCUAUCAGUGUCGUUUUCCCCCCUUAAUUCUAUAUUUUUAAAUGUUAGGGGAGUGAUUGUUAACUAGAGCCAAUUUUGUCUCACCUUCCCCAGGGGACAUUUUGCCACUUCUGGAGACAUUUAGGUUGUCACAUUGAGGGAGGAGGAUGGUUGUGCUGGUGUCUUGU